GAUGAACGCUAGCGACAGGCUUAACACAUGCAAGUCGAGGGGCAUCGGGACGUAGCAAUACGCUGCCGGCGACCGGCGGAUGGGUGAGUAACGCGUAUGCAACCUGCCCACGACAGGGGGACAGCCCGUUGAAAGACGGAUUAAUACCCCAUAAAACAGGGGUUCCGCAUGGGACUAUUUGUUAAAGGUUUUCCGCGAGGGGGAUCCGGUUGUGGAUGGGCAUGCGUUCCAUUAGGCAGUUGGUGGGGUAACGGCUCACCAAACCGACGAUGGAUAGGGGAACCGGGAGGUUGGUCCCCCCACACUGGUACUGAGACACGGACCAGACUCCUACGGGAGGCAGCAGUGAGGAAUAUUGGUCAAUGGGCGAGAGCCUGAACCAGCCAAGUCGCGUGAAGGAAGAAGGAUCUAUGGUUCGUAAACUUCUUUUGCAGGGGAAUAAAGUGCAGGACGUGUCCUGUUUUGUAUGUACCCUGAGAAUAAGGAUCGGCUAACUCCGUG
rnacentral:rRNA from 1 species